rnacentral:snoRNA from 1 species
AAACCAUGAUGGGGACACUGGUUGAUAUAACUUCUAAAUCUUUCCCAUGCUUCUACAAAGGUCUCAUUCGUGUGUUGGGUAAAGCUUGAGAUUUGAUUCCUGAGCUU